CCUACGGGAGGCAGCAGUGAGGAAUAUUGGUCAAUGGACGAGAGUCUGAACCAGCCAAGUAGCGUGAAGGAUGACUGCCCUAUGGGUUGUAAACUUCUUUUAUAUGGGAAUAAAAUGUUCCACGUGUGGGAUUUUGUAUGUACUAUAUGAAUAAGGAUCGGCUAACUCCGUGCCAGCAGCCGCGGUAAUACGGAGGAUCCGAGCGUUAUCCGGAUUUAUUGGGUUUAAAGGGAGCGUAGGUGGAUUGUUAAGUCAGUUGUGAAAGUUUGCGGCUCAACCGUAAAAUUGCAGUUGAAACUGGCAGUCUUGAGUACAGUAGAGGUGGGCGGAAUUCGUGGUGUAGCGGUGAAAUGCUUAGAUAUCACGAAGAACUCCGAUUGCGAAGGCAGUUCACUGGACUGCAACUGACACUGAGGCUCGAAAGUGUGAGUAUCAAACAGGAUUAGAUACCCCUGUAGUC
rnacentral:rRNA from 1 species